rnacentral:misc_RNA from 1 species
GAUGAAGAACGUAGCGAAAUGCGAUACGUAAUGUGAAUUGCAGAAUUCAGUGAAUCAUCGAAUCUUUGAACGCAUAUUGCGCUCUCUGGUACUCCGGAGAGCAUGCUUGUUUGAGUAUCAGUAAACACCUCAACUUCCAUAUCUUUUUUGAAAUGGGAGUUGGACUUGAGUGAUCCCAACGCUUUUCCUCACCGAAAAGUGGCGGGUUACUUGAAAUGCAGGUGCAGCUGGACUUUUCUCUGAGCUAUAAGCAUAUCUAUUUAGUCUGCCUAAAAACAGAUUAUUACCUUUGCUGCAGCUAACAUAAAGGAGAUUAGUUCUUGUGCUGACUGAUGCAGGAUUCACAAAGACAGGCUUCGGCCGACUUUGUAAACUCGAUCUCAAAUCAAGUAAGACUACCCGCUGAACUUAAGCAUAUCAAUAAGCGGAGGA